rnacentral:rRNA from 1 species
GCACGGACCAAGGAGUCUAACAUGUGCGCGAGUCAAUGGGUCUUGGACAGGCCCAUGGGCGCAAUGAAAGCAAAGGUCGGCCCCCCGAGGUCGACCGAGUUGGGAUCCCGCCGGGUCUUCUCCCGGCGGGCGCACCAACGACCCGCCCCGUGCGGCUCGCCGCUGGGGCGGAGUGUGAGCGUACACGUUGGGACCCGAAAGAUGGUGAACUAUGCCCGGACAGAAUGAGGCCAGAGGAAACUCUGGUGGAGGUUCGCAGCGGUUCUGACGUGCAAAUCGAUCGUCAGAUCCGGGUCUAGGGGCGAAAGACUAAUCGAACCAUCUAGUAGCUGGUUCCCUCCGAAGUUUCCCUCAGGAUAGCUGGCGCUCGUUUGAGAUCAGUCUCAUCCGGUAAAGCGAAUGAUUAGAGGCCUUGGGGCCGAAACGACCUCAACCUAUUCUCAAACUUUAAAUGGGUGAGAAGUCCGCCUUGCUCGACUCGAAGGCCGGACGGAAGUAGGAUGAGAGCGCCCAGUGGGCCACUUUUGGUAAGCAGAACUGGCGGCUGUGG